UACGUAGGAGACAAACGUUAUCCGGAGUUACUGGGCGUAAAGGGCGUGUAGGUGGUAAUGUAAGUCUGGCGUGAAAUUUUUCGGCUUAACCGGGAAAGGUCGUCGGAGACUGCAUAACUAGAGGACGGUAGAGGCGUGUGGAAUUCCGGGUGUAGUGGUGAAAUGCGUAGAGAUCCGGAGGAACACCAGUGGCGAAGGCGACACGCUGGGCCGUACCUGACACUGAUGGGCGACAGCAUGGGGAGCAAACAGG
rnacentral:rRNA from 1 species